rnacentral:lncRNA from 1 species
AUGCUACACUGUGCUCAAGGUCAUGCAUCGGGAAGCAAGCAACGUAAAGACACGGUUAUAGCAAGCCAGGGAUCGAAGACACGAAAACUUUCACGCAUGCAUGCAUAUAUACGAAGAUCGAGAUCCGCCUUGUUGUGUUCACGCACCAAAGAGCUGCCGCGUUUGCACUGAUCGCAAAUUGCAACGACUUGCAUGCGCUAUUGGAUCAAGCAAAGCAUCAUAAUUCAUAAACCAUGAAAUCUGACUGGCCCGUAGAAUGAGUUUAUAUAAAUUAAAAUUUCCAUAU